ensembl:lncRNA ZCCHC14-DT ZCCHC14 divergent transcript
GUGCCCAGCGGCGGCCGGUGCGCGGCGGCGGCGGCGGCUGCUCCUCGUCGUCGUCGUCGUCGUCGCCCGGGAGGCGGCCGCCCCCAUCUCCCCCCGCGCCGCAGGGAUAUGGUCCAAGGUGCUGAAAACUUCCUAACAAAACUCUUCAGCCGAAUCUGGCACGCCUGUGGUUCCAGCUACUGGGUAGACCGAGGCAGGAGGAUCGCUUGAGGCCAAGAGUUUAAGACCAACCUGGGCAACAUGAUACAGAAAAGAACACAUAGAGACUUCGGGGGAAAGGAGACUAUGUGCAAGAAUGGCAGAGAUUGGAGCCAAGGAGUGCCUGGGCCUACCAGAGGCUGCAAGAGACAGGGAGGACCCUCCCCUAGAGCCUCCAGAGGGAACAGAGCCAUGCCCACACCUUGACUUUGGACUCCUGGCCUCCAGAACUGUGAGAGGACCUAGGAC